GUAUUAACUAUUAUCAAAUGUUGAUGUUGAUGUUAUGCAAAGAGCAACACUUUUAGCCUUACUUACAGCAUUUAGCCCGGAAGUUAGUUAGCUAUAAUUGUUUGAAACUCUACAACUGUUGUUCCUAGAUUUACUCCUGUUCUAAUAUUUGCGUCUUCCUGUGACCCAAAGAUGGAAAAAGCCCCCUCGAAGUUUGCAUUACAUAGUAUCUGAGUUUAGUCAGUCUUUGUAAAGUCCCUGUAAAACUUCCGUACCUGCAUGCAAACCUCAUGUAAAUAUUAUAGAGUCCAUGGUAAAUAGUAGAAGAGCUAGGUGUUACUGUCAUGAGUAGGCACGUGAAGGACUGGGCACUACUCUAGCCAAAAGCAAAACGAGGCUGUUUUCAGUAUGCGGAACCGACCGAGGGGAUCCCAUCUGGGCUUGAUGCUGCUGGCCUCCCAGCUGUUUCAGGUGGGUGUGGACAACAUCCCCCCAGUCACCCUGGCUGUACUGGGACUCAACGUGUACCUUUACCUGUUUCCUGCAGCUCCACUGAUGCAGGCCUGUGUGAGUGUCCAGCAGGCAUACUGGUUAAAAGACUGGCGCCGCCUUCUGCUGUCCCCGCUGCACCAUGCGGAUGAUUGGCAUCUCUACUUCAACAUGGUGUCCUUCCUCUGGAAAGGCACCAAGCUGGAGCGACGGCUGGGCGGCCCCUGGUUCCUCUACCUGCUGUCCGUCUUCUCUCUGCUCACCGGAUUGGUCUAUCUGCUGUUGGAGGCGUCGUUAACCGAGCUCACCCAGGACCAGUCCUACAGCAUGGCCUGUGCGGUUGGCUUCUCGGGCGUCCUGUUUGCUCUGAAGGUGCUCAGUAACCAUUACCACCCUGGAGGUGUGACCUAUGUGAUGGGUUUCCCUGUGUCUAAUCGCUAUACUAGCUGGGUGGAGCUAGUGCUGAUCCACAUAACAUCACCUGGGACCUCUUUGAUUGGUCACCUGGCAGGUAUCCUGGUGGGUCUGCUCUACACUGCUGGACCUCUGAAGGCCGUCAUGAAGAAAUGUGCAGGGUUAGUGACAUCAAACAGACAUAACUCUCCGCCCAACGCAUACUACAGCUCUUCAGGCUCUUCAGGUACCAAAGCAUUCAAGGCUACAGUGGCACCGGUGGAGGACACUCAGGAUACCGUCAGUAUCCACCAGAUUACACAACAAAUCCUACAGCAUCUUAUACAAGUGGACUGACGGAGGACGAGCAGUUAGAGGCGGCCAUCAGAAACAGUCUGAAUGAGAGAGGACAAAGCAGCCAGAGAGGAGCUCCUCCUCCUUAUGGUUUCCAGCUCUCUGAGGAGGCGAGAGCUGAAGAUAUCAGGUUGAGGAGACUGAGGAGGUUUGACAGCUGAACUUUCAGGCAGCAGAGGGAAGGAAGAAGCUGUAGGUGACAAGACAGAAGAGGAGUUUCCCCCUGAGGCCUGGUCCAAACUCUGCUUCACAGGCUGAGGAUCCCAGAAUGAGAAGAUCCAACCACACAGAUUGACACGUAGCAGCUCUUUUCCAGGGUGCGCCUCUGUGCCUCUUCACUCCAUUCUUUACCAAAGAGUUAAUGUUCGCUAUGAAAAGCUACCUUAAUGUGAAUCACUAGAGUUCAUAGGCUCAUGAGCAGGUGAGGCUGUUGAUGCAUCUUUGGAUUGGGGAAAGAGGAAGGUUUAAGGGUAAUGUUAAUGUUGUUGCACCACUUAAAGUUGUGAUUGAUACUGGUCAUCAUAUCAAAUGCCUUAAAGUCCCCACAUUCACCAGCAAAGGCAUGGCUGAAAUUCUCCUAGUAUUACUGCAAACAUGUAGUGGGUAUUUCCUUCCUCAUGUCCCAAUACAAUAUUAUUAAGUAAUGCAUAAUCUUCUUUUUUUAACAACCUUAACACCAUAUGUUACCAUGCAAGAGUGACGCUGGCUUUAAGCAACGUAAAAACAUUUUAUUUUACUGCAACGUCAAAGAUGUACAUUGCUGGCUCUGAUUCCCCUAAAGCCCUGAGGCAUGAUGGGAAGUAGGACAACUUAAAUUAGAGCAAAGAAGCCCAACGAGCCACCACCGGUCUAAAGCUGUGGUGCAGUAGAGCUGAUGGACUGUACGUCCCUCACUCGCCAUCUCAAGUAGGAAGAAGGGGUGAAAAGGUUGUGUGUUAAAUAUCCAGUAUCAAAGUUAAGUCAUUUUCAUUUAUAUAAGCCAAAUAUCACAUGUAAAACUUUGGUGUGUUUUUUUAACAUUAGACAGAUUUGACAGUUUGAUUUUGCAUAUUGCCGAGGGGAGCGUGGGGGCUGAGUGGAGCACAGGGCCCUGGCAGAACAUGAAUGAGGGAGGCUGAAGAGUGACAGAGAGGAUGACAGGAUGGGGACAGGGAUGACAAGCAGUACGCCACGCACAGCAGUACACAGCAGUACGCCACACACAGCAGGUGCUGCUGCUGCUGCAGUCGGUGUGUGCCCGUAGAAUUGGUGCGCAUUAAAGGUGUUUCUCGGCAUGUUGGUGGCUUCAUGACUUCGUCUGUGUCUGCACGUCAGGAAAGUUGCGUCUCAGUUUGUCAUCACGUGUCACACCUCGUCUGUAAACAGAUUCGACUGAUUUGCUCUGAAAUGCUCCGAAUGCUGCGACACUCACUGGGCGCUGGAGAACGAAACCAUGAGAAAAGCUCCUCUCCUGGUUCACGCAGGCUGAGUUCAGUCGACCAUUUACAGCGGCGUGGAGGCUCAGCGAUGGAAGUUAAUCAGUUCAGUGUCAGUUCUAUUCCAGGUCACAUGGUUGCAAGUAAAAAACGUACUGUUCUGGGUUUUUAUAUUAAGCUUUAGUAACCAAAAAUGUAUUAAACCAAUUGCAGUGGCUACAAUCUCUGAAGUGUUUUUGUUCAUCUGUGUCUUCAGUUAUUUUUGUUUAUUAGAUUCAUUAAAUGGCAAUAAAACAACAUUUUAUAGCACAUGUGCUUUUUAUUAGAUUGAUUCCGUUUGUUUAGUGGUUCAGAUGUUCAUGUAUGA